rnacentral:rRNA from 1 species
ACAAGUGUCACACGGUACUGCCGGUCUUUAAGCCGAGGAAGUGGGGAUGACGUCAAGUCAGCAUGGCCUUUAUGUCCUGGGCUACACACACGCUACAAUGGCCAACACAAUAGGUUGCUAAGCCGCGAGGUGGAGCCAAUCCUCAAAGUUGGUCUCAGUUCAGAUUGCAGGCUGCAACCCGCCUGCAUGAAGAUGGAGUUGCUAGUAACCGCAGGUCAGCUAUACUGCGGUGAAUACGUUCCCGGGGCUU